rnacentral:rRNA from 1 species
UCUUGACAUCCAGAGAACUUUCCAGAGAUGGAUUGGUGCCUUCGGGAACUCUGAGACAGGUGCUGCAUGGCUGUCGUCAGCUCGUGUUGUGAAAUGUUGGGUUAACGUCCGCAACGAGCGCAACCCCUAUCCUUUGUGCCAGCGAUUCGGUCGGGAACUCAAAGGAGACUGCCGGUGAUAAACCGGAGGAAGGUGGGGAUGACGUCAAGUCAUCAUGGCCCUUACGAGUAGGGCUACACACGUGCUACAAUGGCGUAUACAAAGAGAAGCGACCUCGCGAGAGCAAGCGGACCUCAUAAAGUACGUCGUAGUCCGGAUUGGAGUCUGCAACUCGACUCCAUGAAGUCGGAAUCGCUAGUAAUCGUAGAUCAGAAUGCUACGGUGAAUACGUUCCCGGGCCUUGUACACACCGCCCGUCACACCAUGGGAGUGGGUUGCAAAAGAAGUAGAUAGCUUAACCUUCGGGAGGGCGUUUACCACUUUGUGAUUCAUGACUGGGGUGAAGUCGUAACAAGGUAGGCGUAGCGAG